UAGUUUGCAAUACUUUCUUUCAGAAACUGAGCACUGGGUUAAAAGGGCAAGUCUCUCAUCUUCAUUUUUUCAUGAAUACAGAAGAAUAUCAAGCAAGCUGCAAAAAUCCAACAGGAAGCAUUCUGAAAAAUGAAAAUGCAAAAACUAUCUCUUUGUCAACCCAACUUGCUAUGAGUUAAUAAAAUCAGGCUGCAGAAAUGGUCUGACAUUCUUACGAAGUUCAAAAUCCAGCAAUAUCCAUGAGAUUCUGAAAAAGGAAACACAAAGUCCUGCACCAGGGCAG
rnacentral:lncRNA from 1 species